UGGUGGGUAGUUUGACUGGGGCGGUCUCCUCCUAAAGAGUAACGGAGGAGCACGAAGGUUGGCUAAUCCUGGUCGGACAUCAGGAGGUUAGUGCAAUGGCAUAAGCCAGCUUGACUGCGAGCGUGACGGCGCGAGCAGGUGCGAAAGCAGGUCAUAGUGAUCCGGUGGUUCUGAAUGGAAGGGCCAUCGCUCAACGGAUAAAAGGUACUCCGGGGAUAACAGGCUGAUACCGCCCAAGAGUUCAUAUCGACGGCGGUGUUUGGCACCUCGAUGUCGGCUCAUCACAUCCUGGGGCUGAAGUAGGUCCCAAGGGUAUGGCUGUUCGCCAUUUAAAGUGGUACGCGAGCUGGGUUUAGAACGUCGUGAGACAGUUCGGUCCCUAUCUGCCGUGGGCGCUGGAGAAUUGAGGGGGGCUGCUCCUAGUACGAGAGGACCGGAGUGGACGCAUCACUGGUGUUCGGGUUGUCAUGCCAAUGGCAUUGCCCGGUAGCUACAUGCGGAAGAGAUAAGUGCUGAAAGCAUCUAAGCACGAAACUUGCCCC
rnacentral:rRNA from 1 species